UGUGGGGGGAUUAGUGGCGAACGGGUGAGUAACACGUGAGUAACCUGCCCUUAACUCUGGGAUAAGCCUGGGAAACUGGGUCUAAUACCGGAUAUGACUCCUCAUCGCAUGGUGGGGGGUGGAAAGCUUUAUUGUGGUUUUGGAUGGACUCGCGGCCUAUCAGCUUGUUGGUGAGGUAAUGGCUCACCAAGGCGACGACGGGUAGCCGGCCUGAGAGGGUGACCGGCCACACUGGGACUGAGACACGGCCCAGACUCCUACGGGAGGCAGCAGUGGGGAAUAUUGCACAAUGGGCGAAAGCCUGAUGCAGCGACGCCGCGUGAGGGAUGACGGCCUUCGGGUUGUAAACCUCUUUCAGUAGGGAAGAAGCGAAAGUGACGGUACCUGCAGAAGAAGCGCCGGCUAACUACGUGCCAGCAGCCGCGGUAAUACGUAGGGCGCAAGCGUUAUCCGGAAUUAUUGGGCGUAAAGAGCUCGUAGGCGGUUUGUCGCGUCUGCCGUGAAAGUCCGGGGCUCAACUCCGGAUCUGCGGUGGGUACGGGCAGACUAGAGUGAUGUAGGGGAGACUGGAAUUCCUGGUGUAGCGGUGAAAUGCGCAGAUAUCAGGAGGAACACCGAUGGCGAAGGCAGGUCUCUGGGCAUUAACUGACGCUGAGGAGCGAAAGCAUGGGGAGCGAACAGGAUUAGAUACCCUGGUAGUCCAUGCCGUAAACGUUGGGCACUAGGUGUGGGGGACAUUCCACGUUUUCCGUACCGUAGCU
rnacentral:rRNA from 1 species